CCGCGCUGUAAACGUUGUAUGCUGGACAUUGGUGAUAUACUGUCAGUGUCUGAGGGAAACCAUUAAGCAUACCACCUGGGGAGUACGCCGGCAACGGUGAAACUCAAAGGAAUUGACGGGGGCCCGCACAAGCGGAGGAACAUGUGGUUUAAUUCGAUGAUACGCGAGGAACCUUACCCGGGAUUGAAAUGUAGAUGCAUGAGGCAGAGAUGUCUCUUCCCUUCGGGGCUUCUAUGUAGGUGCUGCAUGGUUGU
rnacentral:rRNA from 1 species